rnacentral:rRNA from 1 species
AUUGCACGCUGGCGGCAGGCCUAACACAUGCAAGUCGAGCGAGCGGCGGACGGGUGAGUAAUGUCUGGGAAACUGCCUGAUGGAGGGGGAUAACUACUGGACACGGUAGCUAAUACCGCAUACCAUCAGAUGUGCCCAGAUGGGAUUAGCUAGUAGGUGGGGUAAUGGCUCACCUAGGCGACGAUCCCUAGCUGGUCUGAGAGGAUGACCAGCCACCAUGAGAUUGAGACACGUGCCAGACGCCUACGGGAGGCAGCAGUGGGGAAGAUUGCACAAUGGGCGCAAGCGUGAGGCAGCCAUGCCGCGUGUGUGAAGAAGGCCUUCGGGUUGUAAAGCACUUUCAGCGGGGAGGCGUUACCCGCAGAAGAAGCACCGGCCAACUCCGUGCCAGCCGCCGCGGUAAUUC